CGCGUAGACGGUUUGGUAAGUCAGAUGUGAAAUCCCUGGGCUCAACCUGGGAACUGCAUUUGAUACUGCCUGGCUAGAGUAUGGAAGAGGGAAGUGGAAUUUCCGGUGUAGCGGUGAAAUGCGUAGAUAUCGGAAGGAACACCAGUGGCGAAAGCGACUUCCUGGUCCAAUACUGACGUUCAUGUGCGAAAGCGUGGGGAGCAAACAGGAUUAGAUACCCUGGUAGUCCACGCCAUAAACGAUGACAACUAGAUGUUGGGAGGGUCUGCCUCUCGGUGUCGCAGCUAACGCGUUAAGUUGUCCGCCUGGGGAGUACGGCCGCAAGGUUGAA
rnacentral:rRNA from 1 species